GUGGGUGGGCCCACUGGGUGCUGGGGAGGAGACAGAGAUCAGUUCCACUUUGGCUGAGACUUACAGAGAGGCUGGGCCCUGGACUGGGGGAUCACAGAGGGUGGGGGCUGUGAGAGCCUCGAGGGAAAGAGGACACAGGAGGAAGGUGGGUGCGGUGAUGGCUCAGGGACCACCUGCAGCUCCAGCUGGCCUGGAUAAUGGCAGGGUCUGUGGGGCAAUGGCCCUGCUACAGGACUGGGGCCGCUUUGCUCCUGAAUGCUCACCUGCCCAGCAGCCAAUCAAGCACUGGCCUUGAGCUAAGCAACAUUAAGACAAUUGCAGUUCAUCCAGCUCACAGAGGCUGACUCUCCGACCUCCUGCUCCACCAGCCAUGACUGCAGCGUUCAAUGGAUGGGACACUGACUUCAGGAGCUUUCUCCUGAUGAGAGACCACGACUACGAACUGGUUCUGGCCAGUUUACAGAGGCUGUGCACUUCCACACCAUCAUGUCCCUGCUUCACCUUUUGAUAUCUAGAGCCUAACUGUAGCACAUUUAAAUGUUAAGUCUCAACCCCAAAGUGAACAUGCACUGUAUGUUACAUGCAUGUUUGUUCAGUAUGCAUGUGUGUGUCCCCCCCACCGCAAGAAUUUGUGAAUCUUCAUAGUUCCUCCUGUAACCUGUCCAGUAUGUAUGCUUGUCCAACCAUUCAGUGUCUUUGUUUUGAAAUGUCUAGGUACCUGCAGGGAGCCGCAGCUGUAGUACUCAGAGUCCCCAUUGCCCUUCAACCUCCCCAAUCAUGACAUCUUAUCUAACUGUAGAGUACAAUGCAGACAACUUUACUGCAGACCUUAUUCGGUUUUCAGCCUUUUUUAAAACCUUCGUCCUUGCGUGUGUGUGUGAACACAUCUAGUUCUAUGCCACUGGAUCCUGUGUGGAGAUUCUUGGAACCACCACUGCCACCAGGAUACAGAACAGCUCUGUCACCUCCAAGGAGCUCUUACACCACUGUGUAGAGUCAUGCUGCCCCAAAAAUCCACUUCUCCAUAAAGCAAUGACAAAUAUUGUCAAAACCAAUUUUUCAGAACUCUGGAAGUUAAUCAAAAGUUUGCCAAAACCCAAGGAGUAUUUAGUAAAGAAAAACAUAUAAAAAGGAUUAUAUACCAUAACGAAGUGGAAUUUACAGCAUAUCAGAAAAUAUUGCCUAAUCCAAAAUCAUGAAGAUUUAUUCAUGUUUUCUUCUAAGAGUUCUACAGUUUUAGCUCUUACAUUUAGAUUUAUGAUUUUUUUCUCCCUCCUUCCUUCCUUCCUUCCUUCCUUCUUUCCUUCCUUCCCUCUUUCCUUCCUUCUUUCUUUCUUUUUGUUUGUUUUUGAGAUGGAGUCUCACUCUGUCACCCAGGCUGAAGUGGCACAGUCUCAUCUCACUGCAGCCUCUACCUCCUGGGUUCAAGCAAUUCUCAUGCCUCAGCCUCCUGAGUAGCUGGCAUUACAGGUGUGUGCCACCACGCCCAGCUAAUUUUUGUAUAUUUAGUAGAGACAGAGUUUCACCAUGUUGGCCAGGCUGGUUUCGAACUCCUGACCUGAGGCUAUCUGCUCACCUUGGCCUCCUAAAGUGCUGGGAUUACAGGCAUGAGCCACCAUGCCCUGCUCUUUCUAUCUUUCAUUUGCCUCCACCCUCCCCCAGCCCCCCUCCUUCUCCUUCUCCUUCUUCUUCUUCUUUCUUCUUUCUUCUUCUUCCUCUGUCACCCAGGCUGGAGUGCAGUGGUAUGAUCAUGGCUCACUACAGCCUUG
rnacentral:lncRNA from 1 species